rnacentral:snRNA from 1 species
CAGUGUUACAGCUCAUUAAUGAUUUGUCGAGUAGUUUUUCUGGCUUUCUCUGGAAGCAUCCCU